rnacentral:rRNA from 1 species
AUUGAACGCUGGCGGAAUGCUUUACACAUGCUAGUCGAACGGCAGCACGGGGGCAACCCUGGUGGCGAGUGGCGAACGGGUGAGUAAUACAUCGGAACGUGCCCGGUCGUGGGGGAUAACGUAGCGAAAGUUACGCUAAUACCGCAUACGAUCUGAGGAUGAAAGCGGGGGACCUUCGGGCCUCGCGCGAUCGGAGCGGCCGAUGUCAGAUUAGGUAGUUGGUGGGGUAAAGGCCUACCAAGCCGACGAUCUGUAGCUGGUCUGAGAGGACGACCAGCCACACUGGGACUGAGACACGGCCCAGACUCCUACGGGAGGCAGCAGUGGGGAAUUUUGGACAAUGGGCGCAAGCCUGAUCCAGCCAUUCCGCGUGCAGGACGAAGGCCUUCGGGUUGUAAACUGCUUUUGUAUGGAACGAAAAGGCUCUGGCUAAUACCUGGGGCUCAUGACGGUACCGUAAGAAUAAGCACCGGCUAACUACGUG